AACGCGAAGAACCUUACCAGGGUUUGACAUCCUGCGAAUCCCUUGGAAACGAGGGAGUGCCUUCGGGAGCGCAGAGACAGGUGGUGCAUGGCUGUCGUCAGCUCGUGUCGUGAGAUGUUGGGUUAAGUCCCGCAACGAGCGCAACCCACGUCGUUAGUUGCCAGCACUCAGUUGGGCACUCUAGCGAGACCGCCGGUGAUAAACCGGAGGAAGGUGUGGAUGACGUCAAGUCAUCAUGGCCCUUACGACCAGGGCUACACACGUGCUACAAUGGCGCAUACAAAGAGAAGCGACCUCGCGAGAGCAAGCGGACCUCAUAAAGUGCGUCGUAGUCCGGAUUGGAGUCUGCAACUCGACUCCAUGAAGUCGGAAUCGCUAGUAAUCGUGGAUCAGAAUGCCACGGUGAAUACGUUCCCGGGUCUUGUACACACCG
rnacentral:rRNA from 1 species